rnacentral:rRNA from 1 species
CAGCCGCCACGGGAAUACAGAGGGUGCGAGCGUUAAUUGGAUUUACUGGGCGUAAAGCGUGCGUAGGCGGCUUCUUAAGUCGGAUGUGAAAUCCCUGAGCUUAACUUAGGAAUUGCAUUCGAUACUGGGAAGCUAGAGUAUGGGAGAGGAUGGUAGAAUUCCAGGUGUAGCGGUGAAAUGCGUAGAGAUCUGGAGGAAUACCGAUGGCGAAGGCAGCCAUCUGGCCUAAUACUGACGCUGAGGUACGAAAGCAUGGGGAGCAAACAGGAUUAGAUACCCCCGUAGUCCCUGUCUCUUAUAC